GACGAACGCUGGCGGCGUGCCUAAUACAUGCAAGUCGAACGCUGAAGGAGGAGCUUGCUCUUCUGGAUGAGUUGCGAACGGGUGAGUAACGCGUAGGUAACCUGCCUGGUAGCGGGGGAUAACUAUUGGAAACGAUAGCUAAUACCGCAUAACAGUAGAUGUUGCAUGACAUUUGCUUAAAAGGUGCAAUUGCACCACUACCAGAUGGACCUGCGUUGUAUUAGCUAGUUGGUGGGGUAACGGCUCACCAAGGCGACGAUACAUAGCCGACCUGAGAGGGGGAUCGGCCACACUGGGACUGAGACACGGCCCAGACUCCUACGGGAGGCAGCAGUAGGGAAUCUUCGGCAAUGGACGGAAGUCUGACCGAGCAACGCCGCGUGAGUGAAGAAGGGUUUCGGAUCGUAAAGCUCUGUUGUAAGAGAAGAACGAGUGUGAGAGUGGAAAGUUCACACUGUGACGGUAGCUUACCAGAAAGGGACGGCUAACUACGUG
rnacentral:rRNA from 1 species